GCACAAGCAAUCUGGGCCUAAUCCUUCAAGUCAUGGUUGAUCUAAGCAGACUUGAUCAAUCCCUCCGACAGCACUGUAAUGAUUGUGGAUCAUCUGCGAAACAGAAAAAAUAGCUAAGUCACCUAUUCUGCCAAAAAUAAUUCGGAAAGAAGUCGAAUAAGCAAAGGUUGGAUACUUAUCCCGAUCAAUGACAUGUAAGCGUCUGACUGGAUCUCCG
rnacentral:lncRNA from 1 species